rnacentral:misc_RNA from 1 species
AGCACACCGCGGAACUGGUUCUUGGCAAUGAUUGGACCGGCGAAAUCCCCUCCGCUUGUGCCCGAACUUCCAGCCAUUUUAAGGCUCCCGGAUCGAUCAGACCGGCCACGAACAAUGCCAGAGAACCAUGAAGUAGCAACCAGAAUCAGAAGACAACGUGAAGGAGACAGCGAUUUGCUACCAUUGCUGUUUGAAGAAGAUCUGAUGGAUUCUAAGUUCUGGAUUUGUACUUUUCCAAUCGCCACAGCUAGGAUG